rnacentral:rRNA from 1 species
UACAGAGGAUGCAAGCGUUAUCCGGAAUGAUUGGGCGUAAAGCGUCUGUAGGUGGCUUUUUAAGUCCGCCGUCAAAUCCCAGGGCUCAACUCUGGGCAGGCGGUGGAAACUACCAAGCUGGAGUACGGUAGGGGCAGAGGGAAUUUCCGGUGGAGCGGUGAAAUGCGCAGAUAUCAGGAGGAACACCGAUGGCGAAGGCAGGUCUCUGGGCAUUAACUGACGCUGAGGAGCGAAAGCAUGGGGAGCGAACAGG